rnacentral:rRNA from 1 species
GAUGAACGCUGGCGGCGUGCCUAAUACAUGCAAGUCGAGCGAACGGACGAGAAGCUUGCUUCUCUGAUGUUAGCGGCGGACGGGUGAGUAACACGUGGAUAACCUACCUAUAAGACUGGGAUAACUUCGGGAAACCGUAGCUAAUACCGGUUAAUAUUUUGAACCGCAUGGUUCAAAAGUGAAAGACGGUCUUGCUGUCACUUAUAGAUGGAUCCGCGCUGCAUUAGCUAGUUGGUAAGGUAACGGCUUACCAAGGCAACGAUGCAUAGCCGACCUGAGAGGGUGAUCGGCCACACUGGAACUGAGACACGGUCCAGACUCCUACGGGAGGCGGCAGUAGGGAAUCUUCCGCAAUGGGCGAAAGCCUGACGGAGCAACGCCGCGUGAGUGAUGAAGGUCUUCGGAUCGUAAAACUCUGUUAUUAGGGAAGAACAUAUGUGUAAGUAACUGUGCACAUCUUGACGGUACCUAAUCAGAAAGCCACGGCUAACUACGUG